GGGAGAGACAAUAGAGCGAGGGGAAGAGGAGAGAGAGCGCGAGGGGAGGAGGAGAGGGAUGGAGAAAGAAAGGAAAUGGACAAAAGAAAAGAGGUGGGAGAAGAGAGAGGGAAUAGGGAAUACAGAAAGAGGUGGGAGAAGAGAGAGGGAAUAGGGAAUACAGAAAGAGGUGGAAGAAGAGGGAAGAGGGAAUACAGAAAGAGGUGGGAGAAGAGAGAGGGAAGAGGGAAUACAGAAAGAGGUGGAAGAAGAGAGAGGGAAGAGGGAAUACAGAAAGAGGUGGAAGAAGAGAGAGGGAAGAGGGAAUACAGAAAGAGGUGGAAGAAGAGAGAGGGAAGAGGGAAUACAGAAAGAGGUGGAAGAAGAGAGAGGGAAGAGGGAAUACAGAAAGAGGUGGAAGAAGAGAGAGGGAAGAGGGAAUACAGAAAGAGGUGGAAGAAGAGAGAGGGAAGAGGGAAUACAGAAAGAGGUGGAAGAAGAGAGAGGGAAGAGGGAAUACAGAAAGAGGUGGAAGAAGAGAGGGAAGAGGGAAUACAGAAAGAGGUGGGAGAAGAGAGAGGGAAGAGGGAAUACAGAAAGGGGUGGGAGAAGAGAGGGAAGAGGGAAUACAGAAAGAGGUGGGAGAAGAGAGGGAAGAGGGAAUACAGAAAGAGGUGGGAGAAGAGAGAGGGAAGAGGGAAUACAGAAAGAGGUGGGAGAAGAGAGGGAAUAGGGAAUACAGAAAGAGGUGGGAGAAGAGAGAGGGAAGAGGGAAUACAGAAAGAGGUGGAAGAAGAGAGAGGGAAGAGGGAAUACAGAAAGGGGUUGGAGAAAUGAAGAGGUCAACAUUUGGCCCAUAAGCAGACAAACACACAAGCUACAGGUAGAUGGUCCGUAGGUACGGUAGAUUCUCCAU